rnacentral:rRNA from 1 species
AGUCCAGACUCCUACGGGAGGCAGCAGUGGGGGAUAUUGCACAAUGGGGGAAACCCUGAUGCAGCGACGCCGCGUGUGGGAAGACGGUCCUCUGGAUUGUAAACCACUGUCCCCAGGGACGAAGAUGACGGUACCUGGGGAGGAAGCUCCGGCUAACUACGUGCCAGCAGCCGCGGUAAUACGUAGGGGGCAAGCGUUAUCCGGAUUUACUGGGUGUAAAGGGAGCGUAGGCGGCAGUGCAAGUCAGAAGUGAAAGCCCGGGGCUCAACUCCGGGACUGCUUUUGAAACUGUACAGCUUGAUUGCAGGAGAGGCAAGUGGAAUUCCUAGUGUAGCGGUGAAAUGCGUAGAUAUUAGGAGGAACACCAGUGGCGAAGGCGGCUUGCUGGACUGUAAAUGACGCUGAGGCUCGAAAGCGUGGGGAGCAAACAGGAUUAGAUACCCCUGUAGU